CAAAUAUAUUGUUUAAAAUAUUACAAGGGCAUUGAAAAUUCACAAGAUCCUUACUCAUAGUAGCAACCCCUGGCAACCAACUGGUGGAACUCCAGUUGCCUUUAACAGAGAAGGUGUGACUUCUCUCCGUUGAUCAGGAAUUCUAAGUGGGUCAAGUGAUCCAUCGUCCAGUCCAAGUGUUUAAGAAGCUUUGCAUGAUCUUGUGAUAAAAGAAGGAUGUCAUCAAGGUAUACUAUGUGGUGAACCCAUCUGCUACGGAGGAGCACCAAAACCGGUCAUAGCAAUUUGGUAAAACACCAGGGGCCAAUGACAGGCCACAUGGUAGACGUGUGAAAUGCCAUAGCUCACCAUUCCAGCAGAACUGAAGGAAGUAUCUGGAAGAGGUUAUGACUGGAAUACGUUUCCUUCAUAUCCAACUUAUUCAAUCCUGAGAUAGGAGGAGAUCCCACAGUAGAGUUACUCCUCCAUUUUGAACUAUCAAUAGCGCAUGUUGCCAUUUAACCAGCAAAGAUUGGAAACAAGAUGCAUCUGCCCUCCUUUUUUCUAGACCAAAAAGAUGUUCCUCAUGAAACCUGUUUAUCAAAGGGGUACCGUUAUAUGGCAUUUUUACCCCAGAAUUUGGACAAACCUGCGUCUAUGAGACUGGCCGACU